UGGGGAAUAUUGGACAAUGGGCGAAAGCCUGAUCCAGCCAUGCCGCGUGUGUGAAGAAGGUCUUCGGAUUGUAAAGCACUUUAAGUUGGGAGGAAGGGCAGUAAGCGAAUACCUUGCUGUUUUGACGUUACUGACAGAAUAAGCACCGGCUAACUCUGUGCCAGCAGCCGCGGUAAUACAGAGGGUGCAAGCGUUAAUCGGAAUUACUGGGCGUAAAGCGCGCGUAGGUGGUUCGUUAAGUUGAAUGUGAAAGCCCCGGGCUCAACCUGGGAACUGCAUCCAAAACUGGCGAGCUAGAGUAGGGCAGAGGGUGGUGGAAUUUCCUGUGUAGCGGUGGAAUGCGUAGAUAUAGGAGGGAACACCAGUGGCGAAGGCGACCACCUGGGCUCAUACUGACACUGAGGUGCGAAAGCGUGGGGAGCAAACAGG
rnacentral:rRNA from 1 species